UACAGAGGUGGCAAGCGUUGUUCGGAAUUACUGGGCGUAAAGGGCGCGUAGGCGGCCUUCUAAGUCAGACGUGAAAUCCCCCGGCUUAACCUGGGAAUUGCGUCUGAUACUGGGAGGCUCGAGUAUGGGAGAGGGAUGUAGAAUUCCAGGUGUAGCGGUGAAAUGCGUAGAGAUCAUGAGGAAGACCAGUGGCGAAGGCGGGUCUCUGGACAGUUCCUGACACUGAGGCACGAAGGCCAGGGGAGCAAACGGG
rnacentral:rRNA from 1 species